rnacentral:rRNA from 1 species
AGGGAGCGUAGGCGGCUGAUUAAGUCAGCGGUGAAAGGUAGCAGCUUAACUGUUUUACAUGCCGUUGAUACUGGUUAGCUUGAGUUGACAGAAGGCAGAUAGAAUUCCUGGUGUAGCGGUGAAAUGCUUAGAUACCAGGAGGAAUACCGAUUGCGAAGGCAGUCUGCUGCAGUCACACUGACGCUGAGGCUCGAAGGUGCGGGGAUCAAACAGGAUUAGAUACCCCCAGU